GGGGAACUGAAACAUCUAAGUACCCCGAGGAAGAGAAAUCAACCGAGAUUCCGAAAGUAGCGGCGAGCGAAAUUGGAUUAGCCCUUAAGCUUUUAAUGAUGCAGGUGAAGAGUCUGGAAAGUCUCGCAACAAAGGGUGAUAGCCCCGUAACCGACACAUCAUAAUCAGUGAAAACGAGUAGGGCGGGACACGUGAUAUCCUGUCUGAAUAUGGGGGGACCAUCCUCCAAGGCUAAAUACUACUGACUGACCGAUAGU
rnacentral:rRNA from 1 species